rnacentral:rRNA from 1 species
GACGAACGCUGGCGGCGUGCUUAACACAUGCAAGUCGAACGGAAAGGCCCUGCUUUUGUGGGGUGCUCGAGUGGCGAACGGGUGAGUAACACGUGAGUAACCUGCCCUUGACUUUGGGAUAACUUCAGGAAACUGGGGCUAAUACCGGAUAGGAGCUCCUGCUGCAUGGUGGGGGUUGGAAAGUUUCGGCGGUUGGGGAUGGACUCGCAGCUUAUCAGCUUGUUGGUGGGGUAGUGGCUUACCAAGGCUUUGACGGAUAGCCGGCCUGAGAGGGUGACCGGCCACAUUGGGACUGAGAUACGGCCCAGACUCCUACGGGAGGCAGCAGUGGGGAAUAUUGCACAAUGGGCGGAAGCCUGAUGCAGCAACGCCGCGUGCGGGAUGACGGCCUUCGGGUUGUAAACCGCUUUCGCCUGUGACGAAGCGUGAGUGACGGUAAUGGGUAAAGAAGCACCGGCUAACUACGUG